rnacentral:lncRNA from 1 species
CAAAGAGUCAUGACGGGAAGAAGAAGCCUGUCCUUUGUUGGGAGAAGUCAUAUUUUAACAUGGAGGCUGCUUAUUAUAUGUGGCAGCUAUCUUAGGACAAGGGAAAUCUAACAUUUCGGGCUUUUUGUUUUAUGGUUAUUGGACAAAAGUCUCUUCUGGAGCUGCUUCAAGUUGACAAAGGGCUGAAGGGGCGUGAUGGCAGUGAGUAUGAUUCCAAGGAGGAACCCAGAAAGAGACAGUAAGAGGAAGCUGAGGAUAGCAGUGGGUGUCCGCACG